rnacentral:piRNA from 1 species
GGACUCAGCCAACGAAAGCAUUGUUUUC